UUAAAUUGAAGAGUUUGAUCAUGGCUCAGAUUGAACGCUGGCGGCAGGCCUAACACAUGCAAGUCGAGCGGAAACGAGUUAUC
rnacentral:rRNA from 1 species